UGGGUCUUUUAGUCUCCUCGCCCAAUCACGCGCGGCACAGUGAAGCGGUUUCUUUGCAGGUGUGUUGACCGGCGAGUCUAACAAAUUAAAGCUGCCGCGCGUCCGCUGCGCUUCAAAUCUGCGCCUCUGAUGUCUGCAAGAGCUGAUUGCGGAGUUUAGUUCAUGGUUGACGCACACAGAAUCUUUUCUAAGUUUCUGCUUUCAAGUGUAAUUUGCGAGGCCGCGCGUGAGGCGCACUUCUUCUUUUCGUUUGUCCCCCAGAUGGUUGGCCGCUUUUCAAAGGCUCCAUGGACCUCGUGAAGGAGCAGUCAAGCAAACCCCCUGCAAGGGAGAAGACUACCGCCAAGGUGCAUACUGCCAGUGAUCGACAUGUCCUGGCCGUCAUUCCAGCAGCGGCUCUGUGCGGUUUUCAUUUUUGCCUUUUUUUUUAUCCUUUUUGUUUUCUUUCAAACUGAAUGGCACCUGCCGAGCUUCAUAUGGGCAAAAAGGCAACCCGCCAAGUAUCUGCUGUUUUCGUCGUAUUACGACGAUCGAGAAAACCUCAACGGGCAGAUGAAGGGCGGGGCUGCGAUUCGACUGAUUGGACUUGUGGAUGGUGAUCACUGGGUCGAUGACGGAGAUCGACUUUUGUGCCACGUGAGGUGUGAGAGUGGCAUGCGUUCCACUGAGGCCCUCCCCUCCGCCUUCAACUCUCUGCCCAUAUGGC